rnacentral:lncRNA from 1 species
CUCAUAAACUCUUUAAUUUAAUUUUACGAAACGAUUCAAUUAAAAAAAAUCGAGUCAAAACCGAAAUUUUUCGACCCCGACAAAAAACAAAACAUUACAAUCGAGUACAAAAGCCUUUACAAAAGUCAUAGAGCAUAUGAGAUUUGACUUAAGAAUGCUAUCCAAGAUCAAACAACACUUCUGAAUUAAUUGGAACCUGCACAUAGACCAAAUAUCUGCCAUCAAGCUUAAUGAUGCUUUAAAAGUUUCCAAUAAUAAUUUAUAUAUUACAUUAGUCAAAAACAUAUUAGUUAAUAACAUGAACUUAACGUUAAAGCAUCAUAACAUUUCAUCAAUAUCCAUCAUUUCAUUAUUAAGCAAAUCUCAUCAAUAUCAUGAAGUCAACGCUCAUUUGCAAUAUCAUAUUCCAUUUCAUAUUUAAGUAACAUUUACAACAUUAAACAUCAUUAGAGCAUAGUCUCUAUUAAUCAAACAUGAAAAUUUUGUCUAGAUACAAAGAUAAAUCUAGACACACCAUAUAGAAUAACAAAAAUUUCAUGCGUUUCAACCAAACACAUUACAAAAAUAUACAAAGCACAACAAUGUACCCUCUAAACACACCAAAAUAUACAUAAGUCUCGAUCAAUAUAUUCUCCAAACAUACUAACUCUUGGGUACAUUAAACAAACCCUACAAUACACACAAGAUUAAAAAGCUUAAUAUCUUAUGACAUGUCAACUAUAUCCGAACACAUUUCAAAAUUGUUUAAACAAUUAAAACAUAUUUAAUAAUUUCAUUAAGCAUCUUAACCAAUUCUAUUCAACCAAAAAUCAUCUUAAUCAUAUAGUUUAUUCAACAACCUAAGCAUUCAGCUUAAGAUAAUACAAAGUAAAAUAAAAAAUUAAAGAGUAAAAACCGAAACUGUCACGCUUCUCCUACUUUCUCAUUCCCAUAAGCUUUAGAGGCCUCGCCAACCUCCUUAGCUUCAAUUCAUACCAAAACAAUAAAAAUAAGUUUGUAAAACAUUAAUCAACAAUUAAAACACUAAAGUUAUUAAGAUGAUGCAAUAUGAAGAAAAACCGAGAGGCUCAUGUCGCUUCCAAAAAUCUCAUAAGAGAAUUAUUUUAUACUUAACCUAACCUUGCUAAAUUUGAUUUCUAUUGGUUUAACUAUAAUCCAAAGACCAAAACUCACCUAGAAAUUAUCAAGAACCUAACUCUUCUCAUUUUCUCUCUGUAGAACUCAUUAAUGGUAACUCACUAAAGCUUGACUAGAACUCUAAUUGAAUUAGAAAUUCUUUGUUCUAAUAACAUUCGAAUCUCAAAAACACUUUGAAUUUAAUUUGAAAACUACACAAAAACACAAAAUCAAAGUUUUCUCUCUUUAGCUUAAAACUAACCUAACUGACAAGGAAAAGAGAACAUGCUUGAUUUUCUUGAAGAAAUAUUGAUUCCUAGUAGUUUAAAUUAUCUUCAGAACCUCAAAACAUUAAAUCUCAAAUAAAUUUUCAUCAAGAAUCAUUAAAUUCCCAAAACCUCUCCAGAUUGACGUGGAAGUAAUUUUUGAAAGGAGAAAUGUUGAAUCAAGCUUAAAACAUUUGACCAAAUGAAAGAAAUUAUCAAAAUAUUGCUUACCUUGUUGGAAUUGAAAGAUUGAAAUCAAGAAUUGAAGUUGAAAUUGAGAGAAAUUUUGAGUAGAAAAUUUUAAGUAUCGUGAAAAUGAUUUUGGAGUAAUUGUCCCCUCCUCAAUUUUCAAACCUAUGGUCUAAUUGCUAAGAUACCUUUGGCUUAAUAACCUUUUAAACCCCUUAUAUGAACUAAAUCUAUUUUCUCACUAUUUAGAUAUUGACCCUACUAAUUUUACCACUUUUAGAAAUUAGCCUAUAUCUCAAAUAUCUAAUUAUUCUAUACUAACAAAUUAAUGCAAUUCAAUAAUACUAACACUCUAUCUAAUAAACCACAACUAUUUGUAUAUGGGAAGCAGAACUUGAUAGUAGCUUUUCUUUUCUUUUGCUGAUCCAAUCAACUGAUGAGAAAGAGAAAGUGAUGUAAAAAAAAAUUGAAAAACUUUCUUCCAAAUAAUGUAUUUUAAAAUAUACAUUUCAAAAUAUAAAUAAUUUGUGUGUGUGUGUGUGUGUGUUUUUUUUUAAUUUAAUUCACGCAAUUAAAAAGUUUCAAACAACCUGGAUGAAGAAUAGUAGCCUUAUUAGAGUUGAUGGAUGAAAGAAGGUAGCACCAAUAGAUUGAAUGCAUUCCCAUUAGCACUUGACAUUACUCCAAAUUCCCGAACUACGAGACUUGGUAUAAUCUCUCAUACAAUCCAAUGGUGCACCCAUUACCCCUUGGCUCAUGCAGCUCAUCACCAUUACUGCAC